CGGAUAACCUUUGUCAACAGGCUCUAAUCCUAAAAGAUAAUUAGGCGUUUGUCCUGCGUUUGCUAGCUUCAGUUGGUUUUUGAGGACGGCAGCCCGCGGCGAGGACGAUGUUUCAUAAAGGAGUGCUUUUACUCUUGUUGGCGAUGGCAUUUUUCGAUGCAGACGGAGUAAAGUUCCUGCACGGACAAUUUGCGGUCCAGUCAGGUAAUUUUGUGAGCUUGAGCAGUCCCUGCCCAAAGGAUUAUGUUCCCAUACGAUGCGAAGUAGCGAUGGCCUCUUCAGACGGGUCGCGACUGUUGGAGAACGGGACAUGCAUGAGCACGAAAAGGAAUGAUGUGGAUGGCGCUGUAAUGAGUAAGCUCACGUGUCUGUACGGACCAGGCCUCACUCACCACCAUAUCAGCUUUCCGGCCACUGGACUUGGUGUCAAUCCGGGAGGCUCAUGCCCUGGAAAGUCCGUUUUAUUUGA